rnacentral:rRNA from 1 species
CCUACGGGGGGCUGCAGUGGGGAAUAUUGGACAAUGGGGGGAACCCUGAUCCAGCCAUGCCGCGUGUGUGAAGAAGGCCCUCGGGUUGUAAAGCACUUUCAGUGAGGAAGAACGCCUGGUGGUUAAUACCCAUCAGGAAAGACAUCACUCACAGAAGAAGCACCGGCUAACUCCGUGCCAGCAGCCGCGGUAAUACGGAGGGUGCGAGCGUUAAUCGGAAUUACUGGGCGUAAAGCGCGCGUAGGUGGCUUGAUAAGCCGGUUGUGAAAGCCCCGGGCUCAACCUGGGAACGGCAUCCGGAACUGUCAAGCUAGAGUGCAGGAGAGGAAGGUAGAAUUCCCGGUGUAGCGGUGAAAUGCGUAGAGAUCGGGAGGAAUACCAGUGGCGAAGGCGGCCUUCUGGACUGACACUGACACUGAGGUGUGAAAGCGUGGGUAGCAAACAGGAUUAGAUACCCCUGUAGUC